rnacentral:lncRNA from 1 species
AUGUUUGCAACCCUCGCUCGGCUACCUGCUUUGAGUCCCGGAUGUCUGCGGAGCUCUCUCAUUUCGCUCCACACGGACUCAGAGCGGAAGUCGCUCCUAGUCCGCGCCUUUGCUUUUCUCCACGCGGCAGGGGUCUGCACCGGGUGCCCCCCUUCCGGCCACGCGAGCCUCCUCGCCGCAGUGUCGUCCUCCAGAAGGGUGUUGACAGGGUCCCGGACUUCAACCUGUACCCGCCCCCUUCCUGCCCAGCUCUUCGGAGAUGCGCGGCUCGCGAGGGGUGAGAAAUGACCGUCUCCAUCAAUCGUCGCUUUUCCUGGAUCUCCUCAUAGACAGGCUGCCAGCUGUUUUGUUCAUGACUGCUCAUAGGAGGCCCUUGACAAAGGUAAGUUGCCUGAAUGAACGACUACUGUGUACAGGUGGGUACAGGUAUUAACUUUCUAUUCCUGACGGCAUUUUACAGAGGAGGGGCUGGAAGUAUCCUAAGUGUCAGAGCUGGGAUUUGAACCCAGGGUGGACGUCUUCUACUGGCAAGUGUUUCUCUGAUUUCCCUCUUCGCCUGGAGUAUGCACGUCUAGAAUGGCCCGGAAGUGAGUUCAUCCAUCCUGCACCCCUGGUCAGGUGCUUCCCACCUCCCUGGCCAGGGGCCUCGAGGUCCCCGUGUUCGCGUCUCAGGUGUGCCAGCUCUGCCGCGGUCCCAGGCCCUGGGAACGGGUUGG